AACACGCGGUAAAGUGGUAACUCUCUUCUCUACAGACUCUGUGGUAUUAUUAUAUAUCUGGAUCCGCACAGAACAGCGAAAACAAGCGUCUUUAUUUCUGAUUUCUGGAGUAAAACCUCGAGUUCCGGGCUGAUAAACCCGCCGGCCGGUCCUGCAGGAGUUUAUAAUGGUCUGACUUCUGAUAAAAGCCGGUGCCUAUGUGGUGCGGAAGAUCUCUGCUGCUGUCAGAGAUGGAGAGCAGAAGGAACAGCCUCAGCUCCCAGCAUGCACCCUGGCAUCAGGCAAUAAGAAGAAGCACCAAAGUGAAAAACCUUUAAUGGCUGAGGCAGUAUCGACUCCAUCUUAUGAAGAUGCUGCAUCGUCCAUGCCAGCUACUACUGACACCUCGCUGCAGAAAUGCGGCUCCUGACGUUAAGGUCAUGCAGGUGCAUAACUGGGUACAAUAUGCUAAACAGUUAAACCAGUCAGAAACUGUAAAAUCAGUCAGUGAUGAUUGGAUGGAUGUUGUUGAGAUUCCAACAUUCCUAAAAUAAAUAAACCAGACUUGAUUAAUAAAGGGCUGAUUUUGAACCCAGUUUGCCCUGCAUGACUGAUACAGUAGAUAAAUCAUAUCUCUCUCUUUUCUCUUUUCUCUCUCUCUCUCUUUUCUCUCUCUCAUACGCACUGUGCUGUAGAUUAUGAAGGUCUGAUCAUCAACCUCUAACUCUGGGACUGUUCAGAUCUGAUUUUGUCCUACAGCUGCGAUAAGUUCCCUCAUUAUACACUGAAUAUGAAUUGUAUUCAUGUUAAUGGAAAUGUCAUGACAUGAAAUAAAAUGACAAUACCUCA